rnacentral:rRNA from 1 species
ACUCAAAGGAAUAGACGGGGACCCGCACAAGCGGUGGAGCGUGUUCUUUAAUUCGAAGGUAAGCGAAGAACCUUACCAGGGCUUGACAUCCCUUGAACCCCGACGAAAGUCGGGGGUGCUUUAUUGAGCAAGGUGACAGGUGUUGCAUGGCCGUCGUCAGCUCGUGUCGUGAGAUGUUUGGUUAAGUCCAUUAACGAGCGCAACCCUUAUGAAUAGUUGGAUUUUUCUAUUCAGACUGCCUCGGUAACGGGGAGGAAGGAGGGGAUGAGGUCAGGUCAUUAUUGCCCUUACGCCCUGGGCUAGAAACGCGCUACAAUGGCCGGUACAGAGGGCUGCCAACCCGUGAGGGGGAGCAAAUCCCAUCAAAGCCGGUCCCAGUUCGGAUUGCAGGCUGAAACUCGCCUGCAUGAAGUCGGAAUCGCUAGUAAUCGUGGGUCAGCACACCACGGUGAAUACGUUCCCGGGUCUUGUACACACCGCCCGU